GGCCGCCUGGCGAAAUGGCAUCGCGUCUGACUACGAUGAGUAAUCAGGAGAUUGCAGGUUCGACCCCUGCGGUGGUCA
rnacentral:tRNA from 2 species